UUGACUUUAGGCUUAAAUCAGUUAGGAAUCCCUUCAGAUGUAAGUCAUAGAAAACCUGAUUGGUAGUAUCUGAAUCAAGUAUGGUUUUAUUUGUUUCACAGAACAAAAUCAGAAGAACCAACUGCUGGCGGUGGCAAGAAGACAGAGAGGGAAGAGGUAGGGAGAAGUGGAAGAGGAAGCUGGCUUUUUCAUUUUUGCAAGGAAGGAAAAGCUUUCCUGACAGACCCCAGCAGAUUUCUGCUUAUAUCUGAUCACCAGAACUUAUAUGACAACAGUGGAUUCUAGAAAAAUUUGCCAUCAGUCUUGAUACAACAUGCAGAAGCUUGUCUGAAAAAGAAACCAAAUGGAGGCAAAGUAGCCAAGAGAUGAGAAAAGAGUACAGACCCUGAUGAUCUCAUUUGAUCCUUGGAUUCUCCCAUGAUGCCUCUUGGACUAUUCAGUUUUUAAAUGCAAUUUUAUCCAUUUUUGAAUGAUCAUUAAGUUGGGUCUCUGUCAUGUGAAGUUAAAGCACCGUAUAUGUCAAUGGAUACAGUGUCAAUAUGUAGAAAUCAACUUUAUUUCUAUAAGCUACCAAGAUGUAAUUGAAACAUAAAAUUUAAAAAAUUAUUUACAAUAGCACCAAGAAUAAAAUCUAAUGAAAAAUUUGUAGGCCCUUUACACAAAACUACAAGAUUAAGCCCAGAGAAAUUAAAGAUCUAAAUAAAUGGAGGAUGCUAUCAAG